UACGUAGGGGGCUAGCGUUGUCCGGAUUUAUUGGGCGUAAAGAGCGUGUAGGCGGCCAGAUAGGUCUGCUGUGAAAACUCGAGGCUCAACCUCGAGCUGUCGGCGGAAACCAUUUGGCUAGAGUCCGGAAGAGGAGAGUGGAAUUCCUGGUGUAGCGGUGAAAUGCGCAGAUAUCAGGAAGAACACCUAUGGCGAAGGCAGGUCUCUGGGACGGUACUGACGCUGAGACGCGAAAGCGUGGGGAGCGAACAGG
rnacentral:rRNA from 1 species